UACGAGGGGGGCGAGCGUUGUUCGGAAUUAUUGGGCGUAAAGAGCUUGUAGGCGGUUUGUCGCGUCUGCUGUGAAAUUUCGGGGCUCAACCCCGAACUUGCAGUGGGUACGGGCAGACUAGAGUGUGGUAGGGGAGACUGGAAUUCCUGGUGUAGCGGUGAAAUGCGCAGAUAUCAGGAAGAACACCCGUGGCGAAGGCGGUUCUCUGGGACGGUACUGACGCUGAGACGCGAAAGCGUGGGGAGCGAACAGG
rnacentral:rRNA from 1 species